UACGUAGGUGGCAAGCGUUGUCCGGAAUUACUGGGCGUAAAGCGCGUGUAGACGGUUAGGCAAGCGUUUAUGUAAAAGGCGUGGGCUCAACCCACGUAAGCAGGACGAACUGCCUGACUUGAGUGCAGGAGAGGCAAGUGGAAUUCCCAGUGUAGCAGUGAAAUGCGUAGAGAUUGGGAGGAACACCAGUGGCGAAGGCGACUUGCUGGACUGUAACUGACGUUGAGACGCGAAAGCCAGGGGAGCAAACAGG
rnacentral:rRNA from 1 species